rnacentral:tRNA from 1 species
GGGCUGUUAGCUCAGUUAGGCAGAGCAAGUGACUCUUAAUCACUGGGUCGAGGGUUCGAUUCCCCCACAGCCCA